AACGAACGCUGGCGGCAUGCCUAACACAUGCAAGUCGAACGAGACCUUCGGGUCUAGUGGCGCACGGGUGCGUAACGCGUGGGAACCUGCCCUUAGGUUCGGAAUAACUCCCCGAAAGGGGUGCUAAUACCGGAUAAUGUCUUCGGACCAAAGAUUUAUCGCCUUUGGAUGGGCCCGCGUUGGAUUAGCUAGUUGGUAGGGUAAAAGCCUACCAAGGCGACGAUCCAUAGCUGGUCUGAGAGGAUGAUCAGCCACACUGGGACUGAGACACGGCCCAGACUCCGACGGGAGGGAGCAGUGGGGAAUAUUGGACGAUGGGCGAAAGCCUGAUCCAGCAAUGCCGCGUGAGUGAUGAAGGCCUUAGGGUUGUAAAGCUCUUUUACCCGAGAUGAUAAUGACAGUACCGGGAGAAUAAGCUCCGGCUAACUCCGUG
rnacentral:rRNA from 1 species